rnacentral:rRNA from 1 species
UGGGGAAUCUUGGACAAUGGGGGCAACCCUGAUCCAGCCAUGCCGCGUGAGUGAUGAAGGCCUUAGGGUCGUAAAGCUCUUUCGCCUGUGAAGAUAAUGACGGUAGCAGGUAAAGAAACCCCGGCUAACUCCGUGCCAGCAGCCGCGGUAAUACGGAGGGGGUUAGCGUUGUUCGGAAUUACUGGGCGUAAAGCGCACGUAGGCGGAUCGGAAAGUUGGGGGUGAAAUCCCGGGGGCUCAACCCCCGGAACUGCCUCCAAAACUAUCGGUCUAGAGUUCGAGAGAGGUGAGUGGAAUUCCGAGUGUAGAGGUGAAAUUCGUAGAUAUUUGGAGGAACACCAGUGGCGAAGGCGGCUCACUGGCUCGAUACUGACGCUGAGGGUGCGAAAGUGUGGGGGAGCAAACAGGAUUAGAUACCCUGGUAGUCCACGCCGUAAAACGAUGAGCACUCGGUGCCGCGGGUAUCGACCCCCUGCGGUGCCUGAGCUAACGCAUUAAAGUGCUCCGCCUGGGGAGUACGGUCGCAAGAUUAAAACUC